UGAGGAAUAUUGGGUCAAUGGGCGAGAGCCUGAACCAGCCAAGUAGCGUGAGGGAUGACUGCCCUAUGGGUUGUAAACCUCUUUGAUUGGGAACAAAGAGCGCCACGUGUGGUGCGUUGCGUGUACCUUUCGAAUAAGCAUCGGCUAAUUCCGUGCCAGCAGCCGCGGUAAUACGGAAGGUCCGGGCGUUAUCCGGAUUUAUUGGGUUUAAAGGGAGCGUAGGCCGGAGAUUAAGCGUGUUGUGAAAUGUAGGCGCUCAACGUCUGCACUGCAGCGCGAACUGGUUUCCUUGAGUACGCACAAAGUGGGCGGAAUUCGUGGUGUAGCGGUGAAAUGCUUAGAUAUCACGAAGAACUCCGAUUGCGAAGGCAGCUCACUGGAGCGCAACUGACGCUGAAGCUCGAAAGUGCGGGUAUCGAACAGGAUUAGAUACCCUGGUAGU
rnacentral:rRNA from 1 species